UACAGAGGGGGCAAGCGUUGUUCGGAAUUACUGGGCGUAAAGGGCGCGUAGGCGGCCUGUUAAGUCGAACGUGAAAUCCCCAGGCUCAACCUGGGAACUGCGUCCGAUACUGGCAGGCUUGAAUCCGGGAGAGGGAUGCGGAAUUCCAGGUGUAGCGGUGAAAUGCGUAGAUAUCUGGAGGAACACCGGUGGCGAAGGCGGCAUCCUGGACCAACACUGACACUGAGGAGCGAAAGCCAGGGGAGCAAACGGG
rnacentral:rRNA from 1 species